UUAUACCUCAUCGAUCGGAAGGAAAUCCUUCUGGUUGAUGAGGUAUAACAACCUCAUCAACCGGAAGGGAUUCCUUCCAGUCGAUGCAACCUCAUCAAUCUGAAGGAAAUCCUUCCAAUCAAUGAGGUAUAA
rnacentral:miRNA from 1 species